rnacentral:lncRNA from 1 species
CUCGGAGCUCCGAGACGGUCGAUUCUUCUCAUGAGUUUGGUUGACGUGUUUGACCGGGGCCUGUGGCGUCUUUCCCUUCUGGACUCCACUGACUUUGCCUUUGUUCCUGUUGCCAAACUCCGCUGUUCUUUUGGCGGGCACAGAGCUUUCUGGAACUGGACUCGAACUCUGUCAUUGUGGUCAUCUCCUCUCUGUGUCUUAAGUCUACCGACAUACAUAGCAAGUUAAAUGGACAAACUGGUAACAGCCGGAAAGCCGUUCAGCCGAAGAUAAGCAGUCAGCUGGACAGAGACAGUGCUGCCAGAAGGCCAGCGUUCUAUUUCCUGGAAAUGAUCUGCAUAGAAAUGUAACCUUCAGAGACGCUGGAGAAGGGAAAGGUGAGAAAGGUGCUUUUCCUAAUGGGAACCGGGCCAAGAUGAGCUGCCCUGUCUGUGGUGCGCUGUGGAAAGUGCUUGUUAAUGGUAAAGGAUUUUUUUUUUAAACUCAAUCAGGAGUUCUUCUGAGGAUUAACAUUAUUCAGAAGCAUUUGUGAGG